UUCUUCCCAUAGGAGUCAGUAGUUCCAGGUCCCCAGCAUUAGGGGAAUGUUAGCCAAAUGAAAUCAAGUUGCUAGCAGAUAUCAAGAACUCCUGGCUGGGUUUCUGCUUCCAGUGCCACAAAAUCUGGAAGGUCUCCUGCUAAAAAACAUUGUAGUUACUUUCCUCGCCUUGAUCAAUAGAGGAAGCACGUUUUCCAUCCACCAGGAAGGAAAGGCCUGUGGGAGCAUCUGAGGCCACCAUGAUUUGGCACCAUUGCUCAGUCCCAGCAGUAUAGCUCAUUUUACCUUUCCCUUGAGGAUUAGAGACUCGUGCAGCUCCAUCUUCAUUAGUGAAGACCACUCAUUCAUUCUUCAGAGCAAUCAAAAUGGCUGGCACCUUCCUGGGAUGCAGAACAUUGCGUGGGCAGCCUGCUAAGCUGUGUGCUUCCUAAAUUUAAGAAGAAAGUGUUCCCUACCUUCUCCCUUGCCUGCAGACAACAAUUGAAAACAGCCUCAGCUGUCAGCAAGUUGAAUAAACAAAGGAUGAAGAAGAGACUUAGAGGACUCUUAAGGAACUGACGGAAGAAUAAGAAUGCAGAGUAAGUAUUGUAGGUUGAAUGUAGGUGUUCUUUCAGCUUUAGUUAGAAGAGCAAUAUAUGUCCAUUAAAAAUAAAGAAUUAGUGAUAUCAGUGCUUGGAUCUAUUUCUGUAGGCAUUUCUGGAGACAACAAAGCAAGAUGUAGAAGGAAUAUAUAGUAUAGUAUAAUCCCAUUUUAUAAGAUAACUAAAACCCUUGUAUACAUCUAUGUAUAUAUGCAUGAAUGUCUUAUCAUUUCUAGAGAAACACAGUGUUAACAUUAGUUGCUCUGGGGAGGACACUGAUAGGAAGAUGUAGGGAGGAGGGGAAGAAGAGAAGCCAAACCAAAACAGAAACACAGACUACACCAAAAAACA